AUAAGUGACUGCCUCAGAGCCUUAGCACUUGCUUUCCCCUCUGCCAGAACAUCCGUUGGCUCCUGCCCUCACAUCUUCAGGUCUCCCCUCAAAUGUCACCGUUUCAGUGAGGCCAUCCCUUAUGACCCAAUAAACAACCUCCCCAGCACUUCCCCGGGCCCCUUGCCUUCUCCACUUUUCUCCACAGUAACGGACAUGCUCUACAUGCAGCUCUUUGUUUGUUCAUUGUUAUCUCCCUCCACCUCAAGGUCAGCUCCAUGGGGGCAGGUUCUUUGACUUGUUUCUUGCGACAUCCUUGGGGUCGGGACCGGUGCCUGACAUACAGGAGGAGCUUGAUAAAUACUUGCUGACUGGAAGACCGGUACUCCCCACAUCUCUGUACUCCAGAAUAAAAUGGGGGUUGGUCCAAGAGGUACUGGAUUCUGGGUAGGAUCCGGGCAAUCUAGGUCCUGGGUCCAAGUGUCUAAAUACCUUACUACACUGCUUUUCAGUGCAUACCAGCUCUAAAAUUAAACAUCUUUAGGCAGA